UACGAAGGGGGCUAGCGUUGCUCGGAAUUACUGGGCGUAAAGGGCGCGUAGGCGGGUCGUUUAGUUAGAGGUGAAAGCCCAGGGCUCAACCCUGGAAUUGCCUUUAAGACUGCAUCGCUAGAAUUGUGGAGAGGUAAGUGGAAUUCCGAGUGUAGAGGUGAAAUUCGUAGAUAUUCGGAAGAACACCAGUGGCGAAGGCGACUCACUGGACACGUAUUGACGCUGAGGUGCGAAAGCGUGGGGAGCAAACAGG
rnacentral:rRNA from 1 species